CAAUAGCGUAUAUUAAAGUUGUUGCAGUUAAAAAGCUCGUAGUUGGAUUUCGGAUGGGACUUGCCGGUCCGUCGUUUCGAUGUGCACUGGCCAGUCCUAUCUUGUUGUCGGGGACUAGCUCCUGGGCUUCACUGUCCGGGACUAGGAGCUGACGAGGUUACUUUGAGUAAAUUAGAGUGUUCAAAGCAAGCCUACGCUCUGAAUACAUUAGCAUGGAAUAACACGAUAGGACUCUGGCUUAUCUUGUUGGUCUGUGAGACCAGAGUAAUGAUUAAGAGGGACAGUCGGGGGCAUUCGUAUUUCAUUGUCAGAGGUGAAAUUCUUGGAUUUAUGAAAGACGAACUUCUGCGAAAGCAUUUGUCAAGGAUGUUUUCAUUA
rnacentral:rRNA from 1 species